AGCAGGCUCCCUUUGGAUUCUCUCCGGGCCCCACUCCCCAGUCCCCAGUCCUCACUCGGAAGCUCCGUUCACACCGUGCGCUGCCGCCAUGGCUCCUCCGCCUCGUCGCCGCAGGCACCCCCUCCCGCUCCUCCUCGCCGUCGCCGCGCUGUGGGCAGCGGCGCCGGCCGCGGGCGCCGCGGACACCUGCAAGGCGUGGCUGGUGCAGUCCAUCCCCACCGACAUGCCCCACCUCCGCCGCGUCCCGGGGGUCCUCGCCACAGCGGACGUGCUCCAGUGGAUCUCUGGGAACACGACAGCGAGCCUUGAUAUCCUUGCGCAAUACUGGCAGUUCAUAGCUCACCCGAAGAACCCAAAGUCAGGUGAGUACGGGUUCUCUGAGAGUGACAUGGCGAGGUUCGGGUCUGGCGAGGGGCUACGGGUUUACAAGGCACUUGAGAAAGCGGCAGAUCGUAAAGUCAAAAUCAGGAUCGCGCAGCACGCUGGGUUCGCCCCUGAUUUCGACCAAGAGAGUGCUAACCUCGCUGCAGGAAGGCCAAAUGUUCAGAAUGUAACCGUACUUUUUGAGGAUUGGUGGGGAUCCGGCGUUCUGCAUGCAAAAGUCUGGAUAUCCGACAAAAAGGAUGUGUAUAUUGGAUCUGCAAACAAUGAUUGGAAGUCCCUUACCCAGGUAAAGGAGCUGGGGAUUUAUUUCGUUGGUUGUCCACAGAUAGCAAAAACUGUUGAAGUGUAUUUUCAAAAUCUUUGGACACUUUCAACACUCAAUUCAACUACUUACACAAAAAUUGCCUGGGAUAAGAAGUGGCAGACUUUUAGAAAGGUGCCAUGCUGGUCACAUUUCCUACACCCCGAACAAAGAUGCAGGUCACCUCUGCCACUUUCUGUCGAUGUCCCAUAUGUCGACGGCUAUCCAUCACUUGCCAAUCCUGAACUGCUUGAUGUUUUAAUUGAAACCCCUGGGCUCAAGAGAUCCACUAAAGAGCACCACUUGAGCUAUCUCUCGUUUGCUCCACCUGAGCUGUCAUUUGACAAGUUCCAGGCAGACGAGCAAGGUUGGGUCGACACCAUCAAAUCUGUGAAUUCUGGGGGAAUGGUGAGGAUAAGUACUAUGGAUUGGCUUGGACAAUCGCAAUAUGCUUCUCAAACUGUGUUCUGGCCAUCUUUAUCGUCAGCAAUAUCAGAGGUAAUAUUCUCCAAGAAUGCAACAGUGAGGCUGCUGGUAGCCUACUGGACACACUUCAUCCCGAGCACCGAAAAGUACUUGAAGAGCCUCCUUUACUCAAACAUCCUCUGCGCAUCCUCCAAAUACAACCACUGUGGCGGCAAGGUCGAGGUCAAGUACUACUUGGUUCCCGGGUACAACGAGACCGGUCCCGCCCUGUCUCAGGGCGCCCCGACGGGGAACUGUUACCCCGGCUUCACCCGGGUGAACCAUGGCAAGUAUGCCGUCAGCGAUGUGAGGGCGAACAUCGGCACCAGCAACCUCAUCUGGGAUUACUUCUACACGACGGCUGGAGUGAGCUUUGGAACGUACAAUCCCUCCAUCGUCUCGCAGCUGCAAGAAGUCUUCGAUGCGGACUGGGAUUCUCCCUACACCAUGCCGGUUAAGCCUCUGGAGGCAUCCAGCUGUCAUCCAAUAGGAAAUUGUGGCUGUGACCUGCUAGUGGUGUAUUAGCACCACGCCCAAGCCAUGGCCUCUCGCCGUCGUCCGACCACCGCCCUAGUCCUGGCGUCGUUGCUAUGCCUCUACCAUGCGCCGCGCGGGGCCUUCUCGCUCUCCUUCAGCCUCGACUUCUCCGACCCCGGCGCCGGUUCGUCGAUUGUCGUCGCCGGUGACGCACUCGUCAGCCCACCGGCGCUGCAGCUGACGAAAAACAGCUGGGCGUCGUACGGACACAAAGUGCCGCUCUGGAACGGCGCCACCGGCGAGAUGGCUAGCUUCGCCACCGCCUUCUCCUUCCGGAUCACCUCGGAGAAGGACAUCCUGGCACGGCAGACCGGCGAUAGGAUGGCCUUCUUCCUCGGGCAUCUCCCCUCGGUGGCACCGGACAGCAGCGGCGCCGGCGCCGGCCUCGGCCUCCUCCCGGCCUUCGCUGGCGGUGACGGGACAGGCGAGAGCCGGAUCGUGGCGGUCGAGUUCGAGGCUUCCCUCAACCAUGCCGGCAUCGACGUCAGCUCCGUCAACUCCACGGCAGCAUCCGCGUACACGACGAUGGCAUGGCCAGCUGGCAAGAACCUCGCGUCGCCCCAUGUCAUGGAAGCCACCGUGAAGUACCACAACGGCUCCAGGAUACUGGCCGUCGAUCUCGUCAUCGGCGGUGCCAUGUACCAGCUCAAUGCAACCGUUGAUCUGCGCAGAAUUCUGCCGGAGGAGGUCGCCGUCGGCUUCUCCACGGCGAAUGGCGCCGCCUUUGCCGCGCUGCACCGGAUGCUGUCGUGGUCGUUCAGCUCCACCCUGCCGGAGUCAAAGCGGGAAGCGCCUACGCCUGCUGAACCUCCUCUUCCGACCAGCAGCAGCUACAGCCACAAGAAGGUAGCACUAGUCCUGCUAUUCCUAGGAACGAUCACGACGAGGUGCGUCCGAAUAGGAUUUCAGUUUGGAUUCAAGACAUCGCCGGGCCGUGUUCCCUUGGCUGUCGUAGCCUAGUAUUUUACAUGCAUAUAAAGAAGGAUGUGGCUAGACCUUGGUCGAUGUAGACUUAACAAAGUCUCGGUUAAGUGACAUCCGCGUAGUUGUGUUGCUUCGAGCGGCACGAUUGACUGGAUGCUGCAAACGGCAACGACAAAUGUUGUGAGAGUGCUGCAAGCAACGACUGUUGUGGCUACCGAUGAGACGAUGUGUUGAAUGAUUAUGGCAGAUGUUGUGACGGGGGUGAGGCAACAUGAUACAGCCAGCAAUGACGAAUGCUACAACCGGUAGGAAGACAUCU